AUGCACUUGGAGUUUUGAUCUCUAGAGGAUAGGUUCGAGCCCUGUUUUUUUAGGAA
rnacentral:tRNA from 1 species